CAAUCUCAUUUUUGAAAACCCUAGACCACAUUCACACAGACAAGAACCAUCUGACUCUCUCUCCUUCUUGAUCGAACUCAGGUGACCGAAGAUCAUUAUUCUGGUGACUCAUGUUUGCCGGCGACACAACAACCCCCCUAACCCACACCCGAUCCUCCUCUCUCUCGCGAUACCUACUCCGGCGACGGAGCCGGUGGUGCUGGCAGUUGCCGGCCGUUUUUGUUCCAACCACACCCGACGAGACACCCCACACCCUCCAUCUUCCGAUCACCCAUCUCUCUAGAGCUCAUGAUUACUUGCGAGAGAACCCCGACCACCUCCACUGUCGUCGUGGCAGUGACGACGAUCUGACGGCGGAAACGUCGUGGUUGGCGGCGGGGCAUGGUUCUUCACUUCUUCUAUUUCAAACCUGUACGGUGGUGGUGGCUGAUACGGUCGCAACGACUGUGAUACCUCCAUUUCUGGCAAAUUUCUGCAACGAUGAUGAUGCUGAUGUUUGGUUCAACUACAAUUCAAAUUUUUAUGUUUUUGGUCAGAUAUGGCUCAGGUGUCGGUUCAGGUUUUGUUUGGAUGUUCGGGUUAGAUACGAGUCAACUCAGCUGCGUUUCGUGUCAAACCCGGUUGACUCGGUCAACACCGGAGUCAACUCGGGUCAACAUCGGUCAAACAGGUCAACGGCGGUCAACUCACAACCCGGAAUGUCAUAGUUGCAUGCUAGCUAAUUCACGUUCCUGGAACGACACUUCGGAAUCACACUAGGCUAGCUUUGCACAGGAUUAUCCAGGUUGCAUUUUCCAAACUAUGGAAAGGUUGGAAUAGGAGAACCCACGGGAAUUCGAGUAAUUAGCAGGCGUUCAAUUUCUAGAAGUCUUAGCUUAUUUGCUUCCGCUGUGCAAUGAAGAUACCAGUCCAGUCAUGCCAGCUCUGAUAUUUCGGGGUGUGACAACAACCAUUAAACAUUUUCUUUUUAAACCCGUGUGAUUAAAAUUCGAUCAUAGGAGUAUAUGUUUGUAUAGUUGUGAUUUACUUAUGCAAAAAAAAAAAAAAUUCAAAAAAUGUUGAGAAAAAUACAAAAAUAUGAAGUUAGUAGUUGUUGAAUAAAAGGCUAAAGUUGUUGCCUUGUAGUUGAUGUUUAUAGUUUAGUUUUGUUUAGAGUAGUCGUUUGUAAUAAAAAUCGAAUUUUUCAUCACCUUAGCCACUUAAAAAAAAAUCCUAUUCCAUACCUUUAACCUAGCCCCGUUACAACCCUCCAAAGACCUUAUGACUUGUUCUUAGUAUUCGUGUUUGGUGGUGGAGAACGAUUGAGUUGUAAGCCUAUGCGGGUACGUGUUCUAAUCGGUUUGAAUGAUUAUUUCAAAAGCGCUAAUGCAUCAACUAUUAGCCAAUUUUAAACCGAGUGGAGAGAACACUGUGAGGGAUGUGCAUGAUUUAUUGGUUUCAAGGGCGGGUUAAUCUUGGAUAACCAUUUUAUAUGUGAUUAUUCACUUUACAGUUAGAUAUUUCGUAAAUUGUAAAAAGUUUGAACCGGGUAUGACUUUAGACCUUAACUUACGUCUCAAGAAUGGGAAGUGUGUUUCUUGUUCAACCCACGUGAAAGUGAAAAACAGAUUUGCUUGAGGGCAAGCAAACGACAAGUGUGGGGUUGUGAUACAUGGUCAAAAACCGGUGUUCGUUAAUCUUUAAGUUCAUGUAUUUGCUUAACUUUUAAUCUCGAAUAGCCUACUUUUAAUGGGAUUUGUGUUUUGCAGGUCUUAUGGAGUUUAAUGAGCUAUUUGGGAGCUUUACGUUGCACUGGGAGCGAACGGGAUCAACCGAGGAUGUGAAAUGAACAAAACCGGGUUAAUCAUGAAGAUUGGAUGUGUUUUGGGGGAUGUUAAUGGAUUUAAAAUGAGUAUAUUAGAAAUUGGCAUGAUAGAUGGCUGAAUUACGAGUACGUGGGCGAAAACGGUGAGUAAAACGAAGCUGUAACGAAAAAGUUAUGAAGAAAACAAGAAAUCAGGAAAUCCGCAUUUAAAGGGGGCGUCGGGGACACCCUAAAUGGCCGUCGGCGACGCCCUCCCUGUAUGUAUGUCGCGAAUUUUGUUGUUUAAUGAGUUGGGGACGGUUUUUAGGUGAGGUUUUGACCAAUUUUCAGGGGUUACAAGUCUUGGGAGGUUAAAACAACUCCUUGGAAGCAUCCUCUUGAUCUCUAACAAUCCCUAACACCUCUAAUCCAUCUCUAACAUCCUAUCAUCACCCGGAUGACAACAAAACCCUAGUCCAUCAACUCCAUCUCCGUCAUUCCACUAUCACCAUCAUCUUCAUCCACCAUAUAAACCCUAACUUCCACCACUUCUCAAGACUUGAAGAUUAUGGUUCGGUGUUCGUGUUCAU